rnacentral:lncRNA from 1 species
GUGGACCAAGACAAAGACAGAGAAUGCAGCCUGGACUGUGCAGGGUCCCCUCAGAAAUCACUCUGUGCAUCUGAUGGAAGAACUUUUCUGUCCCGGUGUGAGUUUCAACGAGCAAAAUGCAAAGAYCCUCAGCUGGAAAUAGCCUACCGAGGCAACUGCAAAGAUGUUUCCAGAUGUGUGGCUGAGAGGAAGUACACCCAAGAACAAGCUCGCAAAGAAUUUCAGCAAGUGUUUAUCCCAGAAUGCAAUGAUGACGGCACAUAUAGUCAGGUUCAGUGCCACAGCUACACUGGAUACUGCUGGUGUGUCACUCCCAAUGGCCGGCCCAUCAGUGGUACUGCUGUGGCCCACAAAACUCCUCGCUGCCCAGGUAAAUCUUGUUUGUCUGGCUGGGUUAUGACAGCGUGCCAYGAACAACAAAGUUUGUCUGUGGUU